rnacentral:rRNA from 1 species
UACAGAGGGGGCAAGCGUUGUUCGGAAUUACUGGGCGUAAAGGGCGCGUAGGCGGCCAACUAAGUCGGACGUGAAAUCCCCUGGCUCAACCAGGGAACUGCGUCCGAUACUGAUUGGCUUGAAUCCGGGAGAGGGAUGUGGAAUUCCAGGUGUAGCGGUGAAAUGCGUAGAUAUCUGGAGGAACACCGGUGGCGAAGGCGGCAUCCUGGACCGGUACUGACGCUGAGGCGCGAAAGCCAGGGGAGCAAACGGG